AAUAUUGCGCAAUGGAGGGAACGCUGACGCAGCGACGCCGCGUGUGUGAAGAAGGUCCUCGGUUUGUAAAGCACUUUAAGUUGGGAGGAAGGGCUUUAGGUUAAUACACUGAAGUUUUGACGUUACCAACAGAAUAAGCACCGGACAACUCCGUGCUAGCAGCCGCGGUAAUCAUGAGGGUGCAAGCGUUAAUCGGAAUGACUGGGCGGAAAGCGCGCGUAGGUGGUUCAGUAAGAUGGGUGUGAAAGCCCCGGGCUUAACCUGGGAACUGCUUUCAUAACUGCUGAGCUAGAGUACGGUAGAGGGUAGUGGAAUUUCCUGUGUAGCGGUGAAAUGCGUAGAUAUAGGAAGGAACACCAGUGGCGAAGGCGACUACCUGGACUGAUACUGACACUGAGGUGCGAAAGCGUGGGUAGCGAAC
rnacentral:rRNA from 1 species